rnacentral:rRNA from 1 species
GAGCAAUCCUGGCGGCGAGUGGCGAACGGGUGAGUAAUACAUCGGAACAUGUCCAGUAGUGUGGGAUAGCCCGGCGAAAGCCGGAUUAAUACCGCAUACGAUCUAUGGAUGAAAGCGGGGGAUCGCAAGACCUCGCGCUAUUGGGGUGGCCGAUGGCGGAUUAGCUAGUUGGUGGGGUAAAGGCCUACCAAGGCGACGAUCCGUAGUCGGUCUGAGAGGACGACCAGCCACACUGGGACUGAGACACGGCCCAGACUCUUACGGGAGGCAGCAGUGGGGAAUUUUGGACAAUGGGGGCAACCCUGAUCCAGCAAUGUCGCGUGUGUGAAGAAGGCCUUCGGGUUGUAAAGCACUUUUGUCCGGGAAGAAAUCCCCUGCCCUAAUACGGCGGGGGGAUGACGGUACCGGAAGAAUAAGCACCGGCUAACUACGUACCAGCAGCCGCGGUAAUACGUAGGGUGCGAGCGUUAAUCGGAAUUACUGGGCGUAAAGCGUGCGGAGGCGGUGAUGUAAGACCGAUGUGAAAUCCCCGGGCUCAACCUGGGAACUGCAUUGGUGACUGCAUUGCUCGAGUAUGGCAGAGGGGGGUGGAAUUCCACGUGUAGCAGUGAAAUGCGUAGAGAUGUGGAGGAACACCGAUGGCGAAGGCAGCCCCCUGGGCCAAUACUGACGCUCAUGCACGAAAGCGUGGGGAGCAAACAGGAUUAGAUACCCUGGUAGUCCACGCCCUAAACGAUGUCAACUGGUUGUCGGGUCUUCAUCGGCUUGGUAACGUAGCUAACGCGUGAAGUUGACCGCCUGGGGAGUACGGUCGCAAGAUUAAAACUCAAAGGAAUUGACGGGGACCCGCACAAGCGGUGGAUGAUGUGGAUUAAUUCGAUGCAACGCGAAAAACCUUACCUACCCUUGACAUGUACGGAAGUCUGCCGAGAGGUGGAU